rnacentral:miRNA from 1 species
GAGGUGAGCAGGAGUUGCGCUU